UUCCGGUUGAUCCUGCCGGACCUGACUGCUAUCGGAUUGAUACUAAGCCAUGCUAGUCUUUGUAGUAAUACAAGGCAUACGGCUCAGUAACGCGUAGUCAACCUACCCUAUGGACGGGGAUAAUCUCGGGAAACUGAGCAUAAUACCCGGCAGACCACUUAUCCUGGAAUGGUUAGUGGUUAAAAUGAUUCGUCGCCAUAGGAUGGGACUGCGGCCUAUCAGCUUGUUGGUGAGGUAAUGGCCCACCAAGGCGAUUACAGGUACGGGCUCUGAGAGGAGAGGCCCGGAGAUGGGUACUGAGACAAGGACCCAGGCCCUAUGGGGCGCAGCGGGCGAGAAAACUUUGCAAUGUGCGAAAGCACGACAAGGUUAAUCCGAGUGAUUUCUGCUAAAGGAAUCUUUUGUUAGUUCUAAAAAUACUAGUGAAUAAGGGGUGGGCAAGUUCUGGUGUCAGCCGCCGCGGUAAAACCAGCACCUCAAGUGGUCAGGAGGAUUAUUGGGCCUAAAGCAUCCGUAGCCUGUUCUAUAAGUUUGCGGUUAAAUCUAUACGCUCAACGUAUAGGCUGCCGUAAAUACUGUAGAACUAGGGAGUGGGAGAGGUAGACGGUACUCGAUAGGAAGGGGUAAAAUCCUUUGAUCUAUUGAUGACCACCUGUGGCGAAGGCGGUCUACCAGAACACGUUCGACGGUGAGGGAUGAAAGCUGGGGGAGCAAACCGGAUUAGAUACCCGGGUAGUCCCAGCCGUAAACGAUGCAGACUCGAUGAUGCAAUGGCAUAGAGCUAUUGCAGUAUCGCAGGGAAGCCGUUAAGUUUGCCGCCUGGGAAGUACGUACGCAAGUAUGAAACUUAAAGGAAUUGGCGGGGGAGCACCACAAGGGGUGAAGCCUGCGGUUCAAUUGGAAUCAACGCCGGA
rnacentral:rRNA from 1 species